rnacentral:rRNA from 1 species
GUGGGGAAUCUUGCGCAAUGGGCGAAAGCCUGACGCAGCCAUGCCGCGUGGAUGAUGAAGGUCUUAGGAUUGUAAAAUCCUUUCACCGGUGAAGAUAAUGACUGUAGCCGGAGAAGAAGCCCCGGCUAACUUCGUGCCAGCAGCCGCGGUAAUACGAAGGGGGCUAGCGUUGCUCGGAUUUACUGGGCGUAAAGGGCGCGUAGGCGGACAUUUAAGUCAGGGGUGAAAUCCCGGGGCUCAACCUCGGAACUGCCUUUGAUACUGGGUGUCUUGAGUAUGAGAGAGGUGUGUGGAACUCCGAGUGUAGAGGUGAAAGUCGUAGAUAUUCGGAAGAACACCAGUGGCGAACGCGACACACUGGCUCAUUACUGACGCUGAGGCGCGAAAGCGUGGGGAGCAAACAGGAUUAGAUACCCUUGUAGUCC